rnacentral:rRNA from 1 species
AACGAACGCUGGCGGCAGGCUUAACACAUGCAAGUCGAGCGCCCCGCAAGGGGAGCGGCAGACGGGUGAGUAACGCGUGGGAAUCUAUCCAAUACUACGGAAUAGCUCCGGGAGACUGGAAUAAAUACCGCAUGUGCACUACGGGGGAAAGAUUUAUCGGUAUGGGAUGAGACCGCGUUGGAUUAGCUAGUUGGUGAGGUAAUGGCUGACCAAGGCGACGAUCCAUAGCUGGUCUGAGAGGAUGAUCAGCCACACUGGGACUGGGACACGGCCCAGACUCCUACGGGAGGCAGCAGGGGGGAAUAUUGGACAAUGGGCGAAAGCCUGAUCCAGCCAUGCCGCGUGAAUGAUGAAGGCCUUAGGGUUGUAAAGCUCUUUCAGGUGGGAAGAAAAAAAUGACGGUACCGUUCGAGAAAGGACCGGCUAACUUCGUGCCAGCCGCCGCAGUAACAC